CUGGGCAGAAUUGGUUAUUAGCUUAACUAAUGAGUCACACGGAAACGAAGAAAUGGGCCCAGGACAGGCAACUUUUGAUAAGGAAGAGGAAAAGAAAGUAAAAUUUGGUGAAAGCUGGGAGUGAUGCCUGGAUGGAGGCAGGCAAUGGAAGUCUUUGAGAAGUGUGGAUGGCAGUGGCAAGGACGAUGGCCAAGAUGGGAGAAAGGCCAAUGGGGCCAGAGGCUAGUAAACGGAGAAGGAGAUUAUCUUUUUAUUUUCCAGAUGUCUCACUGUGUCUUAGAAUCCGCUGUUAUGCUGAGAGAGCACAGGGAAAUGGAAUCAGCACUGUGCUGUUCGGACACUCAAACUGACCUAGAGGACUUGAAUGUGAAGAAAAACUGACGCUCUUGCUAAAGUCCAGCACUAGCUUGACAGCCAUGUGAAUGAACCUCAUUGGAACUGGGAUCUCUGGCUCUGGUUAAUCCUUCACCUGACUUCAGCUGUGGCCAACAUCUUUUUUUUUUUUUUUUCCAAGAUGGAGUUUCCCUCUCGUUGCCCAGGCUGGAGUGCAAUGGUUCAAUCUCAGCUCACUGCUACCUCCGCCUCCCAGGUUCAAGCGAUUCUCCUGCCCCAGCCUCCCAAGUAGCUGGGAUUACAGGCAUGCACCACCACACCCGGCUAAUGUUUGUAUUUUUAGUAGAGACGGGUUUCUCCAUGUUGGUCAGGCUGGCCUCAAACUCCCGACCUCAGGUGAUCCACCCACCUUGGCCUCCCAAGGUGCUGGGAUUACUGGUGUGAGCCACCGUGCCCGGCCUGUGGCCAACAUCUUGGUGGUAACUUCAUGAGACACCCUGAGACAAAAACAGCCAAGAUGCUCCCAAAUUAUUAACCAUUGAAACUGUGAGAGAUAAUGGUGCUUAUUGUCAUUUUAAGCUACUAAGUCUGGGGAGUAAUCUGUUAAAUUGCAAUAGAUAACUAAUAAAGUUGUGGACUCACCCCUGCUACCAGGA